CCCUUCGAUGUUCGGAGCUGCACGCGCGCUACACUGUGGGUGGCAGCAUGUUAGCUUGCCUCGCUCGCAAGAGUGGGGUAAUCGUUUGAAAAUCCCACGUGAUUGGGAUAGGGACUUGUAAUUAUUUCCCUUGAACGAGGAAUCCCUAGUAAGUGCAGGUCAUCAGCUUGCGCUGAUUACGUCCCUGCCCUUUGUACACACCGCCCGUCGCACCUACCGAUUGAAUGGUCCGGUGAAAUCCUCGGAUCGAGCCGUGGGGCAACUCCGGUUCGAGAAGUUGAUUAAACCUUACCAUUUAGAGGAAGGUGAAGUCGUAACA
rnacentral:rRNA from 1 species